CCCUCCUCCUCGAGUGUCUUCUCUCACACUCAUUUCAAUGCAUCCACGGUGGUCGGUGGAGGAAACCACCACUCUUUCUCUUCCUCCUCAUUUGACCACCGUCCAUCUCUCCGCCUGUUAUCAUCUCAAACGACGGAGGUUCUGCCUCGUUGCCACCCCUCCAGCUCCUGUGCCAACCAUUUAAGGCCCAGGCCAUUGUUGAAGUGCAAUGCUUGUAACUGGUUUUGUUGUCAAGAAAGCUUGUGAAUUCAGUUUCGAGGAAGCAUAUCAAGCAGGGCAAGGCCAACUCUUGGUUGUGGAGGUGUUCUGAGGGACAAUUCAGGGGAUUGGGCUACUGAGUUUUGCCACAACCUUGGUACUGUGAAUUCCCUUGUUGAGCUAUGGGGCAUUCACAUGACGGUUGAGAUAGUGUUGACACAUGAUUUUCACGGUUCAGAGGUCACAAUUUUCAGUCUAUCUUGUUCUUGUCAGAGUGUGCUCCAUCUCAUCCCAACAGUGAUGAUCCUGUUCUGUCAGAGUAGCUCUAUCUUUAUGGGGGUAUUAGCUUUAAGUUUGUUCCCAGAGAAUUCAAUGUAACGGCGGAUUUAGCCCGUGCGUCUCAUGACUUUUCUUUUGGGCUCCAUUUGUUGGCAGCACUGUUUGGGGAAUGUAGUAGAGGUUUCAUGUGGAAAGCUAGGGAGGCGGUGUCCUCAGGGUCUGGUGGUGUUGUUUAGUUUUGUUUUGGGGUCUUGCCCUCCAUGUCAACAGAAAAAGAUGCUAUUCCAAAACCCUAAAAUAGUAUUCACUAUGUUCUCAAUUCUUCCCAUAUUUUUUGUCAAGUAUCAUUGCAGUUCAAUUUUUUGUUAUCAAAACCGGUUGCAAUUCAUAAUUGAAAAAUUAUCAAACCCAUCAACUCGGGGGCUAUCUGGACCCAAUACAAUCAGUUAUUAUACCCAAGCCACACAAAACAAUGAAAUAGCUCACGGACCUAAAUAAGGGAAGUCCCAUUGUGGUAAAAGACAAGAAGUACCGUUGUUAUUUUUUUCUUUUAUUGGCAUUCACUCUGUAAUCUGAAUGUGAAC